AUAUAACGCCGAAUGCCAUCAGCCUGCAAACCGGGCGGCGGCAGCGGGAGAACCAAUUUUUGGGGUGUAUUCGCCUUUAUGGCGAUAGGGGACCUUCUUCCCCGAACCCGUCAGCUAAUCUCGUAGGCGAAGGAAGGG
rnacentral:sRNA from 1 species